UACCCGAGAAGCUCCAGCAUCCAUGCC
rnacentral:piRNA from 1 species